rnacentral:lncRNA from 1 species
AGUGAGUUUUGAUAAUUUCCAAAUUGUCUUUUCAGUCAGCUCUCUUCAAUUUCCACUCUUUCCUCACAGUGGUGUUGUUAGGCAUCUGUACCUGCACUUAUUUGAAGAUGCAAUUUCCAGCUCUUCUUGAGCAGAGAACUGGGUAUGUCUUUUUGGUAUAUGGUCCCAUAAUGUGCAAAAUAUUAAUUCUUUAAACCAGUUUUGUAUAUCAUUGAUUUUUUGAUCAUUAAUAUGAUUGAAUUUCUCGAUGGCUGGGAAUCUGAUUUCUGAAUGCUCGAAAGUUUUGUGUCAGAAAUUGAUAAUUGAACACUAUAUUGAUUGUCUGUUCUCAUUUAAUGAUCUAGUGAAAAUUUCAUACGGAUUUAUAGACGUUUUGCAAUCUCUACUUCAUCAACAAAUGCUUUUGUAGAUCAAUUAAUUUAACCAAAGAUAAGUUUUCAUAUUGUUCAACUUGGUUUCGUUAACAUACUAUGUUGCAACAUAUGUUCAAAUAUAGAAUGCUAGUCAACGUGAUCAUUAUAUGGUAUAGCAUUCUAACUGACUCCAGUAGUUAAGCAAGCUAUACUCAGAUAUAUACGUUUUGAGGUAUUUCUCAAGCUAAGAAGCUUUUAUGAUGACUAAGGAAAAGGUUAAUAUCUGAACCAUCAGGCCACUAAAUUGACUAGCAUGUUUACGAUCACUUGGGUUAUUUCUCUUAAAUUGCUAUCUUUAGGCUCAACUAAGGAAAGAGGAGUAAGUUAAAAUGAUCACGCCUAUUAGAGAAAAAACUUGCCACCUUCUUUUUUCCCAAUCACAUAAACAUCUAUCCAUGUUGUUGCAAGAUUUCCACCAUUUACCAAUUUCUCUUUUGAUAGCUUCUACUACCGCUACAGACCUUCCUCUCUCCCUUAACUUAUGGUUAAGGACCACAACUCUGCAAGUAUAGCCACUAAAAUCACCAUUGCAGCUAUAUCUGCCAUCAUCCAAGCUUUGUAAACCAACCCCACUUGGCUACCUUCCUAUAAGGUAUUAUCCAUUUUUUAAUUGAAGGUGCAGAUUAUUUGCAUAAAUGAAACAUAUUUGAAGCUUGACUAAUGUGCUUAUAAGCUCAACUUGUUGAAUUGAGGAUGAUAAAUUACGCUAGAGCUCAAUAAUUUGAGCUUCUUCCUAAGUAUGGAAUCCACGGAUGGGGGAAGUUAUAAUAAAGUUCACAAGUCCUCAAAUUUUAAUGAUGGAAUAGAUGGAAGGUUAUGAACUUCCGUUUUGUGGUUUUGAGUGUAAUUUUAACACAUUCAUCACAUCUUCGCAAAUAUUGUACGAAAUAGUUGUAGCUGUGUAAAGACAGUAUGUAAUGAUAAAUUUAGCUCCUAUUUGUUUCCCAUUAUUUGGUUAUUAAAAUGAAAAAUAUGACCGUUAUCCAUCAUAUCAAGCCAUCAUAUUUGAAUUUUUAUCCCUUAUGUGGGAUCCGUAACAGCUAUAUUUUUCAUUCUCAUUAUUACAUUAAUGAGAAACAAACGGGGAGUUAGUAAGAUAUAGCUUAAUCACAUUUGAAAGGCUCGGUCUCGCUAAUAAAACAGUAGCACUUUAAAUGCAAUCACCUGGAAGUCUUUUUGUCCCAUAUAUAUCAUCUAUACUUUUAGUUGAGUGUAAGAUAGAACUUAAAGCUUGCUUGGCACAUAUUUUUCCAACCAAAAAAUGUUUUUUUUUUUUUUUUUGAGAAUGUGUGAUUGAAAAUGAUUUUAAAAGAAUCUCUGACAAACAAGCCUUUGGGUAAGUUUUUCAAGUAAGAUGUGAGAAUGUGAUCUUAAAAACCUUUUUUUCAUUUGUUUUUGUUUCUGUAAUAUGAUUUGAAAGAGGGCAGAUAGAUUUAUCCUGGUUGGUCUAAAUGAACAGGACUAAACCAUUACCACCUCAUUAACAUCAUGUCCUUUGUCAAAUUGGGACAUGACGCAUGCAGAAAAGGUAAAAUCUGCUUAGAUUGUUUUUCUCCCUUCCGCUUCCCUAUCAAAGUGGAGGGAUGCAAAAUGAUAUGCCUAAUAAUAUCUUUUUAUUUUUGUAUAAUAUGUGCCUUAUCCAACUGUGCAAAUAAACCUUUACAAAUUUCUUCUGCCAAUUUAUGGCAGUGAUAUUUGUUUACUGAGACCUUGGGACUUUGGGUUAACUUACGGCCUCAUCUUUUGAGGAAAGGUAGAGUCCCUAAAAUAGGCACUUGUCAAACUCGGCCCUUGCUUGAGCCCUAUUUUAUCAAAAACUCAUUUAUAAAAAAAUAAUAAUAAUAAAAUAAAAUUAAAAAAAAAAAUUUCAUUUUCAACUACACAUUCUUCAAUAAAAUAAUUUUACACGUAAAUUGAAAUUCUUUUUCUUAUUUUUUAACUACGUAUUCUCCAAAAAACACUAUUCCAAUAUCCCCCCGGCCCCCCAAGAAAAAAAUGGGGCUCAAACAAGGGCUGAAUUUGCCUACUGGUUGAGUUGCAUCAAAUCAGGAUAAUAAGAAAGAUCGUACAGCUUGUACUGGACUCAUAGAAUCGCUGGGGCCUAUAUAAUUUUCUGUUUAAACUUGUAUGCUUGACUUGUUUUCUCUACAGCCAUACACUUGGCACUAACUGAUAUGGUUGUGGAUUUUCUGCAAUCAUGAUAUAUUUAUGCAAUUCCCAGUGUCAGCAGAGAAAUAAAUUGCACCAUGUUAGCUUAUUUCUGUUCCUCUAGCUUUCUUAUACAUAUCAUUAUAUUUAUUUGUGUUUAUGUAUUAGGUUUAUUUUAUUUCAAUUUUUCUUUGAUUAAAACUUGUUCUUAUUCAUGCUAAAAGUACCAAUGUGGCAGGUUUGUAGGUGUCUUCUGGAAGGCUGCUAGAAUAGGUACGAUUUACUUGAACACUACAUGUAACAAUGCUGGUCUUGAAGGAAUUCAUGGUUCAUAAUGUAUCCUUUUUGAAUUUAUUCUGGAAAAAAUAUAUCCCUUUUGAAUUUAUUCUGGAAAAAGUAACAGAUAAUCUAUUUGAUCUGUUUGUUAAUUUUCUCUUACCUGCUCUUGUUUCUGACAUCAUUCUUUGUUUCAACUUCUCACCAGGAAAAAGCAAACUGGUUGUGUAUUUAUGAAUAUAUUCAUGUACUCUUAGAACUUCUUGGGCUGCUUUUUUGUUCAAGACUUUUCAUCUGAAAUUUUAUCUUGAGAAAAUGAUCAGUUAAGAAGAGCAAAACAUUCCUCAGUUGUUUUAUUGGGGUUCAUUUAAAACUUAAGGGUAAUUGCUGCUGGUUGAAAGACUUUGAUGGCAGUUAGGUGUUCCUUACAUUUUUUGGUUUUAAAUUUUGGAAUAAUAGUGGACACUUGUUAUUUUAGUUUUAAAAUUUUCUUGGUUAAUAGAAAAACAAGAAAAAGAUUGAUGAUAUUUAUUGCUAUAGUUUCCAUCUAUGUGUGACCAUUGAAGGUUAACUGAUGCUUGUCAUAUGAAUUUUGUAUGAAGUUUAACGUAUGCUUUGAAAUUCGAAGUUUAACGUAUGCUUUGAAAUUCUGACACUGUUAUAUAAUUCCUUGAAUAGGCGAGAGAUUGAGUCCUUGGGUGGCUGUAGGAUGCUUCACAAUGGGUGUCUCAAUAAUCUUCUUCUAAGAGGAGAGCUGUUUACAAGUACUCCAACAACCAUUUCAAUCCUGUAGUUGUUUUAUACUGCUUCAUGCAGCUGAAAGCAAAAUUAGUGGACUUGUUUGAAUGCCACAGAUGUGUUCUUUAUUGUGACUUGUAUGUUGUCAUGUUUUUAGUGCGAAAUUUCCUUUGAUUAUUCAAAGACAUUUCUGCUGAUCCUUGUAAACACUACACAAUUUUUUUUCCCUCACUUCUAGGUACGUUUUUGCUUUUCAUGCCAGCAUCUUUCCGUGUCUGGUGCGUGGGAGGAUACAAGUGAACAACAGCAAACUAUGCUUUGUUCUCAAUAAAUUUGGAGUUGGCUACAUAACAUUUUCUUUGCCACUUCUUUCAGUUGGUCGCUAGUUCUAUUGAACGAACUAAAGCAACAUGAUGCUUAGCAACUAAAAUAAGCUAUCCUUACCUUUCCUAAAGCGUUCUACCUAGAUCAAUUCACUCUUAUGAAGGAAGUCUCUUUAGGUUUCUGCAUGACAUGUCCCAACUGGUGCUGCCUCUGUCAUAAAUGUUCAUUUAUUAUUUAUCCAUUUUAGUAUGAGGUGGAAAAUAAGUAAUUGUAUUUCAUUAUAGGGGUGCUACCUAUCAAAAAAAGAAAAAUUAUAGGGGUGUAAGUUGAUCCCUUCUGAAAAGUUGGAGGAUGAAUUAAUACCAUUUAGAAGUGUACUAAUUCUUGCCCUCCCUUUGAU